rnacentral:rRNA from 1 species
UAAUACGUAGGGUGCGAGCGUUAAUCGGAAUUACUGGGCGUAAAGCGUGCGUAGGUGGUUCGUUGUGUCUGUGGUGAAAGCCCCGGGCUUAACCUGGGAAUGGCCAUGGAAACUGGCGAGCUGGAGUCUGGCAGAGGGGGGUGGAAUUCCGCGUGUAGCAGUGAAAUGCGUAGAGAUGC